rnacentral:rRNA from 1 species
GUUGUAUGGUUAAGUGACUAAGCGUACACGGUGGAUGCCUUGGCAGUCAGAGGCGAUGAAGGACGUAGUAACUUGCGAUAAGCGUAGAUGAGGCAGUAACAGCCACUUGAGUCUACGAUUUCCGAAUGGGGAAACCCACUGGCAUAAGCCAGUAUCAUUGAGUGAAUACAUAGCUCAAUGAAGCGAACCGGGAGAACUGAAACAUCUAAGUACCCCGAGGAAAAGAAAUCAACCGAGAUUCCGAAAGUAGCGGCGAGCGAAAUUGGAUUAGCCCUUAAGCUUUACAUGUGUUAGACGAACGGUCUGGAAAGUCCGACGAUACAGGGUGAUAGUCCCGUAGUUGACGAUGCAUGUUCAGUGAAAUCGAGUAGGGCGGGACACGUGUUAUCCUGUCUGAAUAUGGGGGGACCAUCCUCCAAGGCUAAAUACUCCUGACUGACCGAUAGUGAACCAGUACCGUGAGGGAAAGGCGAAAAGAACCCCUGUGAGGGGAGUGAAAUAGAACCUGAAACCGUGUACGUACAAGCAGUAGGAGCACCUUCGUGGUGUGACUGCGUACCUUUUGUAUAAUGGGUCAGCGACUUAUAUUC